GAUGAACGCUGGCGGCGUGCCUAAUACAUGCAAGUCGAGCGAACAGAUGAGGAGCUUGCUCCUCUGACGUUAGCGGCGGACGGGUGAGUAACACGUGGAUAACCUACCUAUAAGACUGGGAUAACUUCGGGAAACCGGAGCUAAUACGGGAGAAUAUAUUGAACCGCAUGGUUCAGUAGUGAAAGACGGUUUUGCUGUCACUUAUAGAUGGAUCCGCGCCGCUUUAGCUAGUUGGUGAGGUAACGGCUUACCAAGGCAACGAUGCGUAGCCGACGCGAGCGGGUGAACGGCCACACUGAGACUGAGACACGGUCCAGACUCCGAGGGGAGGCAGCAGUACGGAAUCUUGCGCAAUGGGGGAAAGCCUGCCGGAGCAACGCCGCCUGAGUGAUGAAGGUCUUCGGAUCGUAAAACUCUGUUAUUAGGGAAGACCAAAUGUGCAAGUAACUAUGCACGUCUUGACGGUACCUAAUCAGAAAGCCACGGCUAACUACGUG
rnacentral:rRNA from 1 species